AAUAUUAAAGAAUUCGGCAAAAAUUAUAUUCACCUGUUUAACAAAAACAUGUCUUUUUGAAUAAUUAUUUUAAGUCAUCUCUGCUCAAUGAAAUUUAAAUAGCUGCAGUAUAAUGACUGUACAAAGGUAGCAUAAUCAUUUGUCUUUUAAUUGAAGGCUGGAAUGAAAGAGUUAAUGAAAUAUAAACUGUUUCAAUAUUAAAUAAUGAAAUUAAAUUUUAAGUAAAAAUGCUUAAAUUUUUUUAAGGGACGAUAAGACCCUAUAGAAUUUUAUAAUAAAAUUUAAUAUCAAUAAUUUUAUAAUAUUAAAUAUUAAAUUAAAUUAUUUUGUUGGGGUGAUAUUUAAAUUUAUAAAACUUUAAAUAGUAAAAUCAUAAAUUAAUGUAAUAUAUAUAUAUAUAUAUAUAUAUAUAUAAAGAAAUUUUAUUAAGAAUUAUUAGAUAAAUUACCUUAGGGAUAACAGCAUAAUAUCUUUAGGAAGAUCAUAUUUAUAAAGAUGUUUGUGACCUCGAUGUUGAAUUAAGAUAAAUUUUAAAUGCAGUAGUUUAAAUAUUAAGUCUGUUCGACUUAUAAAAUCUUACAUGAUUUGAGUUCAGAUCGGUGUGAGCCAGAUCGGUUUCUAUCUUUAAAUUAUUAAUAUAUUUUUGUACGAAAGGACUAAAUAUA
rnacentral:rRNA from 1 species